rnacentral:tRNA from 1 species
AAUGAAGUGCCUGAUUCAAAAGGAUUAUUUUGAUAGAAUAAAUUAUGUAAAUUUUACCUUCAUUA